rnacentral:rRNA from 1 species
CUUGAACUUUAUAAGAGGUCCAGCCUGCCCAGUGACUCUGUUCAACGGCCGCGGUAUCCUAACCGUGCGAAGGUAGCGUAAUCACUUGUUCUUUAAAUGUGGACUAGUAUGAAUGGCACUACGAGGGUUAUACUGUCUCCUUUUUCUAAUCAGUGAAACUAAUUUUCCCGUGAAGAAGCGGGAAUAUAACUAUAAGACGAGAAGACCCUAUGGAGCUUUAAACAACCCAGCAAUUACUUCUAAAAUUUUAAAUUUCAGAAUAUUCAUUCUUUAAGUAGUAUGUCUGCAAGUUUUUGGUUGGGGUGACCAUGGAGAAUAACAUAACCUCCAUAUUGAAUGAAUUCCCUUCUAAGCUGAAAAUCACCAAUUGAAGCAUCAACACACUGACAUCUAUUGACCCAAUAUAUUUGAUCAACGAACCAAGUUA